GGGCCCUGCCCCUCAGGCCCCGCCCCCGCCCGCAGGGCUGUUUGUCGCUGCCGCAGUCGCCGCAGCUCCCGGGCUCGCAGCGUCCGGAGUCGCGUCCACAGGGCGGGCUUCAGGGGCUCCAGCACCGCCCGGCACAGGGCGGCCUCCAACGCGGCGCCUGUGAGGGGUUGAGUCCCUGGAGGUGUCUCUGUGGUGAUCUGCUCCAAACCCCACCCUCCGUGGGUCUCCAGGUACAGCUUGUUCACCACGGGGAGCACCUUCUCCGAGAUGUUGAGUUGGACGCCGCCGGUCUGUGGAAGACCUGGGAGCCAGCACAACCGAGGUGUCCCAGAUGUCCCAGGCGCCAGGCCUGGUUCCUUCAGGGUACCAGGAGAAUUAAUUCCCAGCCUCAUUACCGAAGGAGCUGAGGCUUCGUCCCUGGUCCCUUGUCACUCAGGCCCAGGAGUCGAGCCUCCCACAGCUCUCUCAGACCCCCAUUCUAUCUUCCCUCAAACACAGAAGUCUGGUUCCUGAAGUGCCAUCCUUCUGGACCAAGGAGGCUGGAAGGUGGCCUCUCACCUGUUUGUUGGUCUCCUGGUCUUAGAGUGGGAGGGGGCAAGAGCAGUGUUCUGGGCAAAACAUCCCUGAGAAAAGAUAAUGGGGAGCUGCAGUGGGGGGGAUGCCUUAGAGUUGGAUCCCCCUUAGCCCUUUUGACGAGUAACCUGUACCUGCUGGCUGAUAGGAAAGCCAGGAGAUGGGGCAGGUCCGGCAUACAGAGGUUAGAGUAUUCCAGAGAAACACCUGAGGGUUGGGGGCAACAAAGGGCAAGGAAGAAAAGUUGAAGGGUGGCAGCCUCAUCUUCCCUGGGACUCUCUCUUCCUCAGUUCUGCAGUCCCCCAACAGCCCUUCAACACAGGGAAAUUUCUACCCCUUGAAGUCCCCAUCUUUUCCUGUGUCUUUAGGCUUGCAUCCCACUUAUGCCACCAAAUAGGAUUUGGGAGAUUAUUUUGGAAGCAAAGCUCACCAAAUUUGCUGUGGACUGGAAACUCAGGAGUAGGCUCCUUACCUCCAGGAAGCUUCUGGAUCUGAACUGCAGGGUUGUGAGGGCCUCAUCUGCCCAGCCGUAGAAGAUGGAUAAUGAUGUAGGUGGUGUUUCUCACCUCGGGUUUUAUAACCCCUAGGGGAGCUUUAAACAAUGUAUUGCUACCCGGGGCCCCCCUCCAUAUGUUUUGAAUCAAUUGUGAAGGCUUUUGGUUUUCCUGUUUCUUUUAACCUGCGCUUCCUUUCUCGUCUUCCUCCUGCCUGGAGCUCACACACGUGCUUGGACCCGGGGCAGCCACUGGGCAACCACGGAGGAAGUACAAGAGAAUUGCAAAAGCUGGCCUUGAUGUCCCCGAGCUGCUAAACUAGAGCCUGCAGCUGCCUUUCUGGUACAAAGAGCAGUGCCUAUUUGCCUAA